AAUAGAGUGGCUGAGGGAAAGAGCGGUGAAUUGUAAAUUCAUAAAUAAGCUAAGUGCUUCUUUAUUA
rnacentral:tRNA from 1 species